ACUCAAUAGAUACCCGGGUAGUCCACGCCCUAAACGAUGUCUACUAGUUGUUGGUGGAGUAAAAUCCAUGAGUAAACGCAGCUAAACGCGUGAAGUAGACCGCCUGGGGAGUACGGUCGCAAGAUUAAGACUCAAAGGAAUUGACGGGGGCCCGCACAAGCGGUGGAUUAUGUGGAUUAAUUCGAUGCAACGCGAAAAACCUUACCUGGCCUUGACAUGCCACUAACGAAGCAGAGAUGCAUUAGGUGCCCGUAAGGGAAAGUGGACACAGGUGCUGCAUGGCUGUCGUCAGCUCGUGUCGUGAGAUGUUGGGUUAAGUCCCGCAACGAGCGCAACCCUUGCCAUUAAUUGCCAUCAUUUAGUUGGGCACUUUAAUGGGACUGCCGGUGACAAACCGGAGGAAGGUGGGGAUGACGUCAAGUCCUCAUGGCCCUUAUGGCCAGGGCUUCACACGUAAUACAAUGGUCGGUACAGAGAGUUGCCAACCCGCGAGGGGAGCUAAUCUCAGAAAGCCGAUCGUAGUCCGGAUUGUUCUCU
rnacentral:rRNA from 1 species